rnacentral:tRNA from 1 species
GGGUGUAGUUCAGUGGUAGAGUGCAUGCUUAGCAUGCACAAGGUCCUGGGUUCAAUCCCCAGUACUUCCA